AAGUCGUAACAAGGUUUCCGUAGGUGAACCUGCGGAAGGAUCAUUAUCGAAUAAACUUGAUGGGUUGUCGCUGGCUUUUAGGAGCAUGUGCACAUCUGUCAUUUUUAUCCAUCCACCUGUGCACCUUUUGUAGUCUUUGGAGAAAAUGAGCGUGAAUCUGUCGAGGUCCCUCUGGUCCUCGGAAAAGAGGUGUUUGCCGUAUGGCUCACCUUUGAUACUCGCGAGUUACUCUAAGACUAUGUUCUUUCAUAUACUACGAAUGUCAUAGAAUGUUAUCAUUGGGCCUCAGUGCCUAUAAAACAUAUACAACUUUCAGCAACGGAUCUCUUGGCUCUC
rnacentral:misc_RNA from 1 species